UUUUCAUUUGCAUCCUCUGGUUUCCAACAUUGAGCGUCUUCUCCAAGUUUCCUCUCUCAUUCUUCUCCAAGCUUCCUCUCUCAAUCUCAAACGUCUGGGUUUCCAUUCAAGCAAUUCGUUCGUUUGUGCCUCAAAGAACAAAAAAGAUAAAAAUGACCCGACUAAGAACAAGGAGGAGAGCCAUAUCAGUUUACUUCAAGUUGGUUCAAGAUUAUUCAAGAGUUCAAAAUUCCUAAGUUAAUGUGUCAAUGGUGGCUAAUCAAAGGAUGAUAGAAGUGCGCUAUAUUAGAAUUCAAGACGGUAAACUAACAGGUAAGAAUUUGGAGAAAGUAUGAUGGAACUCUCAUCUCUGGAGGAGUGAGGAUUGGUAUCAAAAGGUGGCUAUUUGGAGGUUGAUGUUCAGAUAUAUGGAGUUGGUCUGUGGCAUACAUGGUUUUAUCGUGAUUUGACCAUUGCUGGAAGACUGAUUAUCAAAGAAGGAAAAAGUGACGGGUUGUUAAUGAUGGAUUUAAGGUGAAUACACAAACUCAUCUGCUUCCUGUGCUGGAAACAUAUGUUAAGGCUGAGCUCAAUAAAGUGGUUGCUGAUAAUGGCCCAGAUGGGAAGCCUAUUGAAAGCCCAAAUAGCCAGAAGCAUCAUUCUCUUCUUUUACAGUGGGGAGUGGCUACAAUGUCAGGGUGAUGAUCCGGCGUUAUCUGCUGAUGACUUAGUGGGUUAGGCUGCUGGUGUUUUUGGCUAUAUUAGGUGUAUGUAUGUGCUUAUGGGCUGUUUGGCUAUGUUUUAUUUCAAACACGCUGAAUAAAGCAUUUAACUGCAAAUGGAGAAUGAGACAUGUCUAAAUUUACUAAACUGUGUUGGCAUGGUUUUAGUAAUGACAAAACGUAUUUGCGGGUUAGAUUCUAUAUACCAUUUGAGGCAUUAAACCUUUUCAUUUUACAAAAGUAAGGUUCGUAACAAGCGACAGUGAGCAAAAUAUUGAAUAUUUGAAAUAAACAAAUCGAGAUGAGGUCUCAAGAGUUCAGCUAUGAUUUUUUGGCUGUAGUGGGGAGUGGCUACAAUGUCAGGUGAUGAUCCGACAUUAUUUGCUGAUGACUUAGCUGGUUAGGUUGUUGGUGUUUUUGGCUAUAUUGGGUAAAGUUUUCUUUUUCUUACUUUUUUUUUAUAAAUGGAAGAAGUUUAAUAGAUAUGUAAAUUGUUGUUCCAUACCAGGUGUAGGUAUGUGCUUAUGGGCCGUUUGGCUAUGUUUUAUUUCAAACACACUGAAUAAAGCAACUGGAAAUAAAAAAUGAGACAUGUCUAAAUUUACUAAACUGCGUUUGGCAUGGUUUUAGUAAUGACAAAACGUAUUUGCGGGUUAGAUUGGAUAUACCAUUUGAGGCAUUAAACCUUUUCAUUUUUUUAAAAAUGUAAGGUUCGUAACAAGUGGCGGUGAGCAAAAUAUUGAAUCUUUGAAAAAUCUAUAUAUAGGUCUUAAUAGUUCAGCUAUGAUUUUCUUAUAACUGUCUUUAUGGUUCGGUCAAAGAAUCCACAAUAGAAGAGUUAAAAAUGACAGUCAUGUCACCUAUGCCUGGGAUUUGGCCCUUGCAUAUUAAUAACCCGUCACCCGAGAUUUACAAGGUAUUUGAUGCAUUUGGAUAUGAUUUCUUUCAAACUUAUUUCAGCAUAUGGGCUAUUUCAAAAGUAUAACACAUUGUCACUUUAUUGUGUUUAUGUUAACACACAAGUUUUGUACUUUGUACACUAAUGCUUUCGAGUGAUUGUACGUUCCUCUUCUUAUUGGUUGUGAUGUUAAAACUAUCAUAUCAUACUCCCAGUAUCCCCUCGAGUUAAGGAGUUCAUUUCUCUAAACCAAGGGGCGUUGCUUUGAUUAAAAAGUCAAUAUAAUCAGGUUUGAAACUUAAAGGCCAUAUUUCUAUUUUGGUUCUACUCCUUGCUACUUUCUAGAAUGAACUCCUAUUCAUGCAAAGUUUUAGGCAAAUUUGUCAUCAGUUUUGAGACUUAAAACUAAAAAAAUUAGUAAAAGUAAAUUGGGUGAAAUGAGUUGAAAGUCAAACGGAAUGUGUCAAUAAUGCUUGCCUAUAACCUCUUAAACUUCUUUUUUUUUUUAAAAGAGAUGUGAUUAUUUCUUUAUAAUAUGUUUUUUAAUCAUACUUAACAUUUUAGUUGUUUAUAAAAUUGUAUAAGAAUGGGUAAAAAGCUUAUGGGCCAACCCAAACUGACCUGAUCUAUGACAAGCCUUACGAAAUUUACCCGUUUUAAUCCGUUAUGCAACCUGCCAAUUUGAGCUUGGCUAUCCGCUGCAAAUCACAUAAGUUUUGAAAUUAGAACUAUCAUAUUGAAGUUAUGCAAGGGUGUUUUAGGCAUCUUAAAAAAUUGAAGUGCAACGGCCAGGUAGAUCACAUCUUCCUUACAUAGUUGUCAAUAGUGGGCCUACUUGUGAGCAAAGAAAGAAAUGAAUUCCCGUAGGUAUAAAACUAUGAUUAUAGUUCAGCAAGACUUUAGAAGUUACAAUAUGGAUGGUGAUCGGUUUAGGUUGUUUUUUAAACUUAGAAACUGACAUGAUGGCAAUUUUUUGUAAUGUUUAUGUGGGUUUAGGUUGUUUUAUAAACUUAGAAAUUGACACGACGGCCAAUUUUGUAAUGUUUAUGUGGGUUUAACAUAUAUUAUGGAUAGCGAUUAAAACACAUAUAGUUAAUUCAUUUUAUGUAUAUUUUUGUAACUUUUCAUUUUAUUUUAUAGUAUGCGUUGCGGUGUGGUUUACUUUCAGCUUCCGUGUGUAUUAAGGGGUAAGAUUCGUUAUCAUUGGUUUUGUGGUCCAAUGAUUGUAUCUCUUUGAGUUUCCAUUGGCAACUCGGCUGGCGAAUUGUUGUACCAUUUUUUAGUAUUAAUGGAAGUUAGAUUGACCAGUGACUAUCUUAUGCUAUUUUAUAUGUAUGCAUUCAGAUCAUCAUGUUUGGACAGGGUGUGUUUUGAUGCAGGUGCAUUUGGUGAUUGAUUGGGUUAUGAGUGCAUGAUUCCAAACAGAGUUUAAUAUUUUAUAUGUAUAUGUAUUUUUAAUUGUAUUUCUA
rnacentral:lncRNA from 1 species